rnacentral:lncRNA from 1 species
GCCAGACAAAGACAGUCAGUCUGAUGUGAUUGAGACAAGGGAGGUUUUCAGGGGGAGACUGGGAGAUAGGGGCCUCCCCUCCCCCUUCCCCUCCUCCCACGCCGGCCUCCACCCCCUUCCCCAGCCCCCCUCCCGCCGGGGACCCCGUGCGGAAGACACCCCUCCCCCGCUACCUCAGCCCUUUUUCUUGGGACGUUGGGGAGGGGGUUGCCCGCGAGGCGGAGAGAGAACUCAGCCAGGCUCCUGAGGUUACAGCCUAAAACACUCUCAGCAUGUGGAAGUCAUAUGGUCUGCAAAAAGAAGUGGAAAAUCAGGGCAUUGGUUGCCUGGCCAACUUAAAAUUUCAUCCUGUAACUGUGAAAGACACAUUUAUUUUCAUGUGAUCUCAUCUAAAAAUGUUUCCUGUAAUAUGUGAAUUUGAAAAUCUGCACUGUUUUAACCCAAUCUGUUGCUUGUUUAAUGCAAUACAUUUACUUAUCUGCAACUAGCAUUAAGAAGCCUUUAGAGAUCAACUUUAAGGAGAGAGAGAGAGAGAGAGAGAGAGAGAGAGAGAGAGAGAGAGAGAGAGAGAGAGUGUGUGUAUGUUAAUAAUCUUAGAGUUGCAAGAUGAUUUUUGGAAGUUUUAUAAUCCAGUUCCUUCAUUUUUGAGAUGAGAAAAUUAAGACUCAGAAAGGUUUAGUAACUUAUCGAAGGUCACCCAGCUAGUUAAUGACAGAGGUAGGACUAGAACUCACAUCUCCUGAUUUUCAAUCCAGUGUUUCUUUCAUUCUCUUUUGGUGAAUCUUCAAUUUUUAGUAUUGUACAUAGUUCAUCGUUCAGCCUUGAUUUAUCCUAAAUUAGAUGUAAAAGUAUAAUGAAUGCGUAUUAAUUUGCUCAAUAUAGGAUGAGUUCAUCUAUGGUCAGUCACAGAGGUGACAGUCUUUUAGUUGCACAGCUGAUUUGAACUGGGGUCUCCUCCAAAUCUCAUAUUUUCCCCACAUGACAUUACUUGUUAUUUUAAGAUGUCCUUGAAGUAAAUCUUCAUCAUUGUUGCAACCUUAUGACCAUAAAUAUGUCAAUUUAUGACAAUUUUAUGAUACAUAUUAAUGUAGCUUAUUUGUAUUUAGUAACUACAAAAUCAGUGCAAAUUUAAUUUGUCCAUUUAAGUCCUUUGUGUAUUCUGCUUCCUUUGCCAUACUUUUAGAAUUAUUUAAACUGAAUUUCCUGUAAGUCUGCUUGUUCUUUUUCUGUGCAUUUGAUUUCAUAGUCUAUCUCUCUUUGCAGAUUUUUAAUGCAAAUACUGUUUAAACUUAAUCAUUUGUUGCCUUUUGAAUUAGAAAUUGUUUGCACAAAGUAAGACCUUUUACUCUUAUUUCCCUUCCAUUGCUUCUACUCAAGGGGAAAACCUAUAGGUAAACGUAAAGUGAUGAGCAGUAAUCUGUGCUGAUUCAUAUAUCAUGAUAUUUUGCCAGAUUCUAUGUUUUACUCUACCUUUAAAAAAUUAAAAAUGUAUUUGGUAGGUUAGUUACUUCACCAUUUAAAAUUUUCCUGUGUUUGUAGUUUUUUGUUCCUGGAUUUGAUUUUUUUUUAAAUGUGUAUAAGUAGAAAACACUCUUAUGAUGUAGAAAAAUACAGAUAGUAGAUAUGCAAAAGUGCUCUAUACCAGUAUGUUUGUAGAUGUAUGGAGUGGAUUUUUAGGAGUCUGGUAUACCAUAAGAAGUCAGAACUGCACAUAGUCAGUAGACUAUGUGAAAAGUGAUUGUUGCCAUAAACCAUAGGAACAGACAUUACAUGACACUCAAAUAACUGACUGGGAAGGAGAUUUUUUAAUAUUGUAAACUUUAUUUUAAGAAAUUACCUUUUUAUCAUGAACUUUAGUUAUUAGUAAAUAUUUCAAUAUGCAAAUAACAAAAAGAAUUUUACAUAAACUCAUCAACUUCUUUUACCUAGUUUUUGAAAAUGUAUUUUAAUUUAAACAGUGAGUAACAGAAUUGGCAUUUGUGUCUGCUCAUGAACUUUGUUAUCUUUUUGUAUAUUUUAAAAUGUUUUCUUGAUAUUCUUUUUUGGGGGGAGGGGGCAGUUGGAGUUAAGUGACUUGCCCAGGGUCACACAGCUAGCAAGUGUCAAGUGUUUGGUCUGAGGCCAGAUUUGAACUCGGGUUUUCCUGACUUCAGGGCUGGUGCUCUAUCCACUGAGCCACCUAGCUGCCCGUUGAUAUUCUUUUAAAAACACCUUUAGCACUACCCAUUAAUUUGUGCCCAUCCCAAUAGACACUCUCUCUUCCCCCUAACAAAUAAAGAUAAAUACAUUGGCUAUGUCUGGCA